AUGAAGAGGCCAUCGUCUUCGUCAUCAUUGCCGCUGCCAUCAGAUUCAUCUCCCUCACAAUGCUGGACGUACGACGUGUUCCUGAGCUUCAGAGGUGAAGACACACGAAGUGCCUUCACGGACCACCUCUACGCGGCACUAGAACGUGCGGGAGUCUGGACAUUUAGGGAUACAGAGGGACUUAGAAGAGGAGAAAAUAUAGGGGAGGAGUUAGUGGGGACAAUCCAAGCAUGUAGGAUCUCUCUCAUUGUCUUCUCAGAGACGUACGCAUAUUCACGUUGGUGUCUCCAGGAGCUGGUCGAGAUCAUGGAGUGUAGAAGAACACAAAGGCAACUGGUUUUCCCCAUAUUCUAUCAUGUUGAUCCUUCUCAUGUCAGGAAGCAGGAAGGUAGUUUUGGCAAGGCAUUUGAGAAACAUGAAGCUGAACUAGGUAGGGAUACGAUAGCCAGGUGGAGAGCUGCUCUUGGAGAAGCAGCGAGUUUGGCUGGAUUCGAUAUUGCUGAUAGGCGUGAAGCAGAGUUUAUCAAUAGCAUUGUUGACGAGAUAUGCAGACAGCUAACCAACACAUACUUGAACUUAGCUGUCAACCCAGUUGGAAUAGAUUCUCGUGUUGAAGAUAUCAGUAAUUCUUUGCGUGUUGGAGGUAAUGAUGUUCGCAUUGUUGGACUUUGGGGUAUGGGUGGAAUCGGCAAAACAACACUUGCCAAAGCCAUCUAUAACAAAUUUUAUCAUGACUUUGACGGUAGAAGUUUCCUAGCAGAUGUUAGGGAAACUGCAAAGGAGUCAAAUGGUAAGAUUGCUCUGCAAGAAAGACUUCUUUCUGAUGUCUUAAAACCAAUCAAGAUUGUGGUAGGUGAUGUUUCCUGAGGGAUCAAUGUGAUAAGAGAACGACUCGGAAGAAAAAAGGUACUUAUCAUUGUUGAUGAUGUAGAUCACGAGGACCAAUUGAAUGCAUUGGCUAUAAGGCGUGAUACCUUUGGUCCAGGUAGUAGAAUUAUUAUAACAACAAGAGAUCUUCAUGUGCUAGAACUACUGAAAGUGGAUACAGUACAUCUAACCCGAGAAAUGAAUGAAGAAGAAGGUCUUGAGCUCUUCAGUUGGCAUGCCUUUCAAAAUCAUUCUCCUGAUGAAGACUAUAUUGAACUCUCAAGAAGGGUGGUUACGUACUGUGGAGGUUUACCACUGGCUCUUGAAGUUUUAGGGUCUUUUCUGUUUAAAAAGAGUGCAAGAGAAUGGGAAAGCACACUGAAGAAAUUGGAAAAAGUUCCUGAUGUCAGAAUUCAUUCAAAGCUCAGAAUAAGCUUUGAUGCAAUUGAUGAGAGCCAGAAGAACAUAUUCCUCCAUAUAUGUUGUUUUUUCAUUGGAAUGAACAAGGAAUAUGUCAUACAAAUACUGAUGGGAUGUGGUUUUUCUCCAGAAAUAGAAAUCAGUGUCCUGCAGAAACGUUGUCUUGUAACUGUCAGUGAGAAAAACAAGCUCAUGAUGCAUGAUUUAUUGCGAGACAUGGGCAGAGAAGUUGUUCGUGAAGAAUCCCCUAAACGCCCUGAAAGAUGUAGUAGAUUGUAUCGUCAGGAAGAUGUAAUAGAUGUAUUGACAGGUAAAUCUGGAACUGAAGAGACUGAAGGACUUGCUUUAAACUUGCAAAGAUCUGACAACAUGAGCUUCAGCACAGAAGCAUUUAGAAACAUGAAGAGACUCAAAUUGCUCCAACUCAACUAUGUACAACUCACUGGACACUGCGACCAGUUUCCCAGCAAGUUAAGUUGGCUCUGCUUGCGAGGAUACUCUCCAGAGGUUAUACGAAAUGAGUUUCUCAGUGAAACAUGCCUGAUCUCUCUCGAUCUGCGGUGCAGCAAUCUCGUACGAUUUUGGGAGGAUUCUAAGCGGCUUGAGAGAUUGGAGGUGCUUAAUCUUAGUCAUUCACAUUACCUAACACAAUCACUGGACUUUUCACAACUCCCAAAUCUAAAGUAUUUGAUCCUUAAACACUGUGUGAGCUUGCCAGAGAUUGACCAGUCCAUCGGACUUCUUUCUCACCUUGUCUUGCUAAAUCUUAAAGGCUGCACUAUGCUCAAGUACCUUCCAGAGGAAUUUUACGAGUUGCGUUCUCUUAGGACUCUUGUUCUUUCUGGCUGUUCGAGAUUUGAUUAUUUGAGCGAGGAUAUACAUAAUAUGGUUUCUUUGAAAACUCUUGCUAUAAGUGGCACAGCCAUAAGUGAUGUACCAUCCUGUAUAGAUAACUUGUGGAACCUGGACUUUCAAUCUCGACAAGGCCUGAGUGGACUAAAACGACGUUUACUGGAAUCUUCUCAAGAACUUUUUCUCCGGCAGCAGCGUAAACUAGGUAAACUAGCUACGUUACUUUUGAGUUUUUGA